GAGUUUGAUCCUGGCUCAGGAUGAACGCUAGCGGCAGGCCUAAUACAUGCAAGUCGAACGUGAUUGAGGAGCUUGCUCUUCAUGAAAGUGGCGCACGGGUGCGUAACGCGUAUGCAAUCUGCCUUAAUCAGGGGGAUAGCCCGGAGAAAUCCGGAUUAACACCGCAUAAAAUCACAGCACGGCAUCGUGCAAUGAUCAAAUAUUAAUAGGAUUAAGAUGAGCAUGCGUGACAUUAGUUAGUUGGUGAGGUAACGGCUCACCAAGACUCCGAUGUCUAGGGGAUCUGAGAGGAUGACCCCCCACACUGGUACUGAGACACGGACCAGACUCCUACGGGAGGCAGCAGUAAGGAAUAUUGGUCAAUGGGCGCAAGCCUGAACCAGCCAUGCCGCGUGCAGGAAGACGGCCCUAUGGGUUGUAAACUGCUUUUGUACCGGAAUAAACCUUUGUUCGUGAACAGAGCUGAAUGUACGGUAAGAAUAAGGAUCGGCUAACUCCGUGCCAGCAGCCGCGGUAAUACGGAGGAUCCAAGCGUUAUCCGGAUUUAUUGGGUUUAAAGGGUGCGUAGGCGGCCUGUUAAGUCAGAGGUGAAAACUUGCAGCGCAACUGUAAGCUUGCCUUUGAUACUGACGGGCUUGAAUAAACUAGAGGCAGGCGGAAUGUGACAAGUAGCGGUGAAAUGCAUAGAUAUGUCACAGAACACCAAUUGCGAAGGCAGCUUGCUAUGGUUUAAUUGACGCUGAGGCACGAAAGCGUGGGGAUCAAACAGGAUUAGAUACCCUGGUAGUCCACGCCCUAAACGAUGAAUACUCGAUGUUAGCGAUAUACAGUUAGCGUCUAAGCGAAAGCGUUAAGUAUUCCACCUGGGGAGUACGCCCGCAAGGGUGAAACUCAAAGGAAUUGACGGGGGCCCGCACAAGCGGAGGAGCAUGUGGUUUAAUUCGAUGAUACGCGAGGAACCUUACCCGGGCUUGAAAGUUACUGAAUGACUCAGAGAUGAGUCAGUCCUUCGGGACAGGAAACUAGGUGCUGCAUGGCUGUCGUCAGCUCGUGCCGUGAGGUGUUGGGUUAAGUCCCGCAACGAGCGCAACCC
rnacentral:rRNA from 1 species